rnacentral:rRNA from 1 species
GACGAACGCUGGCGGCGUGCCUAAUACAUGCAAGUCGAACGCACUGGGGACGGGUGAGUAACACGUGGGUAACCUCCCAUCAGAGGGGAUAACACUUGGAAACAGGUGCUAAACUGAUACUGAUGGAUGGACCUGCGGUGCAUUAGCUAGUUGGUGAGGUAACGGCUCACCAAGGCCACGAGGCAUAGCCGACCUGAGAGUAGGAUCAGCCACACUGGGACUGAGACACGGCCCAGACUCCGACGGGAUGCAGCAGUGGGGAAUCUUCCGCAAUGGACGAAAGUCUGACCGAGCAACGCCGCGUGAGUGAAGAAGGUUUUCGGAUCGUAAAGCUCUGGUGUUAGAGAAGCGGUAUCUAACCAGAAAGCCACGGCUAACUACGUGCCAGCAGCCGCGGUAAUAC